GCGAGAACACUUCUUGCUCUGUUUGUGCACGUGAUUAAAAUAAAACGGUGGCUCGAAGAGGAAAAUUCGCGAUCGAUCUCGUUUCUCGGAACAUUUUCAAAAGAAUUGAAAAGAUUUAACACCUUCGUUGAUUAAGAUGAAAGCAGAUUUUACAUUCACAUUCGAUCUAUGUCUUUUAAGGUACUUAAAUACUUCUUUGUUUCGUUUUAUCAUUCAUUUCCUGAUGAUACCUACCUGCAUCACACAUGAUAUACAAACAUGCGUGACGUUAUACAAAUUAAACGAGAAUAUUCGUGUUUUUAAUUAUCUUCAUAUUUCUAACUAGCGUAACUAAUUGCUCUGGCUUAUUUUAAGUCGAUACGGACGUAAUCUUACCUACUUGGAAGUAUAAUUUAACGAUCUUUCAUAAAUCGUUUUGAUUUUUUUUUUUAAUUCUGGAAUGAUGGAAUUCCAGAAAUUGUUUUUAUAUGUUUAUAUAAAGUUGUUUGAUAGUUAUUUUUUGCUAUGUUCUUCUUUUUCAAGUAUCAAAUAUAAAAUUUUCAUAUUUUAAUUUUCCAAAUUUUUAAAUUCAUAUUUCAUUAUUGGAAUAAAAAUUUGUAAUUCUCAAAAUUCCACAUUUAUCUAUUAAAUGAAAUCUAUAUAUAAAAAUUACAAAAGAGUUAUUUUAUAUAUUCUUUCUUCUUCGAUUCACAUUAGUCUCUUCUUCAAAUAUAUCGAAUUAAUCAAUUAUCAUUAAAGUAUCAAUUACUCAAUUAUUAAAUAUAUCAAUUACUUAAAUUAUUCAAUUGAAUACGAAUAAUAAAACGAAGAAAAAAACAGGACCUUCAGAAACAACAAAUAAAAAAAAUCAAUUUAUAAGCAUCUCAUCAUCGUCAGUGAAGCUGCAUUGAAGGACAAUUGGGAAUAAUACUUUCGAGGACACAACGAGUCCCUCGAGAGAUACACCCGCCGAGAUUCGCGUGUACUUGACAUUAAACAAGAGAGACGAAAGUCGACGGUCGUCGAAUGAUUUUUUCCAAGUUCGAUGGCCAUUUCAAGUGAGAGAGAUCCAUUCCAAUGUCCCUUUCGAGUCUCAGUACCAAACGAUUCAUCGAAUCGCUCGGAUUCUUGAUUUUUUAAAACCUUGUUGUACUUUUCGAAUGUUUUUCGGUCAAAUUUUCUUUUAUAAAUCAUCUAGAAUUGAUCAAAACAUAUAUUUGUAAAAUAUUCUGCUUCUUUGACAGGUGAUUAGAUUGAAUUAGAUUAGGUUAUGUUAGGUUAGAAUUUUUCUUUAAAGAUAAACAGUGACCUGUUUAAGAGAUAAAGUGAAGUGAAAAGUAAAACAUUCUUGUUGUUUUUGAAAUUAAUAUGUGUGAUAUUUUUAAAAUAUAAUUGAUUAAUGAAAUUUAACAAAAAAAAAACAAAAACAAAAAUUAAGCUUAAAUCAAUUAUAAUUAAUAAUAUAAGCAUAUAUCAAAAAAUGACGAUAAAAAUUAGAUUAAUUUGAAAAGAAAGAAUUAAAUCAUUGUUCAUCAAUCUUCGAUAAUUUAAGGAAAUCCAGAAAAAUUCAGGAAACCCAUUAUGAUUCUUAAUUACGUGUUCCAACAUUCCUCGAGGAUGCUAUCGGUGAGAACAAAAUCCAUUAUAUUAUCAAAAUUCAAAAUAUUUUUCUUUCAUUUCCUCAUUUAUCAUUUAAUAAAUGUACAAUUAGCGAAAACGAUGAAAUUUGCUUUAUAAACUUACCGGCAAGUGAAUCGAAUUGAUAAUGAAUUACAGAUUACAUAAAACAUAUUUAUAUGCACAUAAAUCAUAUAUGCUUGUAUAAUAUAAUACAAUGACAUUACCUCAACUUAAUAAAAUGCAUGGAUCCAAGAUUUAUGCACAAAAAAUAUUUUAAUGAUAUAAAAUAAAUAUUGCACAAAACUAAGAAUAAGAAUUCAUCAAGAGAAGCCAUCUUUGUCUUAAUUGAACUGUGUAGGCGAGAUGGCGCUAUUGCAUAUUCAAAGAACGAGAAAAAUGAAGAACAGACGUAGAAUAAAGAUUUCGUACAUUGUUUGUUGUGAAACUUCGAGAUCGAGUGUGCAUCUGGAAAAAUUCACGAAAGAAAAUCCUAAAUCGAGAUAACUAUGUCCUUCCUCGCUGGAAAUUAUAAAGAAAAUUGUUUUAAGAAUGCAUCACUUGAAAUUAAAAAUAUAAUACAUUGUUGAAUUUUUAAUUGAUAGAAAAUCUUAGGUUAUAAUAAUGAAAUUUUCGUUCGAAUAUUCUUUAAAAAGAUUUCUUUAUUUAAAUUUUAUAAAGAAAACUAUAUAUUUCUUAUAUAUAGUUUAUAUAAAACUGUUGAUUUAUUAUUAUUUUUAUUUGUUAAAAUAAUAGCAUGACUAAAAAGGCGAAUCGCUCAAAAGGAUAUAUUCAUUGAUAUUUUUAACACUAAAAAUUGUUUUCGAAUUCUAAAAGAAGAAAUAUAGAUUUCUUUUAUAUUUCUUCUUCAUAAUAGCUCUUUUAAACCUUAUCAAUAUAUAUUUUUUUAACAAAUUCUGAAACUAUUUUUUUGCAUCAAAAUUUGCAUUGCAAAUAGACAUUGUCCUCAAUCUUAUUAAAAUCGAUGCAAAGUGAAAACGUUUUAAAAUAUAUACAUUAAAGUAUAUACAAGCUUUGGAGAAGAAUCGUUAUAAAUCAUGAAAUUUUAUUUUCAAAAUUCCAGUCGAGACGCAUGAUAACAGAGAAAUAUGAUUAUUCCAUAAAAUGGUAAGAAACAACUACGGUCUUAUAUGCUUAUAUAUGCUUAUAUAUACAUCAUUUUGAAUAUUUUUUUUGGUUUGCAUCUCGAUUCCUAGCCACGACCUCGAUUAUCGUGUGUCAAAGUGACGCAUGUGGAUAUGGUAUAGAAAUCUUGUUAUACCAUCGAUUGGACGAUGAUUCGAUAAACGAUAAGAUCUUGCGCAGGAAAAUCUGAAUUUUAAAUCGAAGUAGAAGAUAUGUCGUUAUUGAUUAAUGAAGAAUAAUUAAUGUUCGCCACUUGUAUCAUGGUAUAAAAAGAAAAAUUUUCUUUUUUUUCUUCCUCUGUUUGUUUUUUUGCUAUUUAUGAAUUAUAUUUUCAAAUCAUUAAAUCUACUUUUAUUCUCUCAAUUAUUUCUGCACAAUAUUCAUUUCUUUUUCGUUAAUCCAAAAAAAUCAAAUCUAUGAAUUAGAUAAUACAAUGUCAUAAUAAGUCUUUUAAACCUUAUCAAUGUAUACGACGUUUUCUGAUUUUUCCGUAGGUCAAUCGUUCAUAACUGUUCUUUGAUUCUCAUACGCUUGUUUCUAGACUAACUGGUUUUUGCGGUGUACGUAUAAACGUAAGACCUCGACCCAUUCGCGUGUCAUUUUACCAAUUAUCUGUUGUUAACGAAACAAAUAAAAAGUUUAUUGUAAUUAAUUCCAAAGAUAUCAAAAUCGAUAAAUUCAAGUUACAAAAAAUAUUGAUAAUAAUUAUGAUUGUAUAAAUAAAUCACGCGUCGCAUUAAUGAUAUUAUUAAGAAUUAUCUUCACAAAAAAUAUUCAUAAAAAAAAAGUCAGAGGUGAUUUAUAAAUCAAAUUGAAUACAUAAUUACUUCAUACAGAAAUAUAACAUAAAGUUGUUUGUUUAUAAGAAAAUAUAAUCGUCUUUUAAAUGAACUGUCAUUCUUUCAGAUAUAAGUCUUCAAUCUUCUCGAGAUUAGGCAUCAAUUUUUUCAUUAAUGCAGAGAUAAUUUGCAGUGUCAUGAGGUUAUUUGCUUGAUAAUAUUAUCUAUGCGUAAUGCUCGAAUGCAUCGAGAUGUUGAUAUUCUCGAAUAAUAUUAUUGACUGGAUUCUGUUAUCUUCCAAUUUAUAUGUUGUUGUAUGUGAAAAAUCAAUUUUAUAAACAAGUACUUUUUAAGUUUUUUCAUUUUUUUUAAAUACCAAAUAUAUUUGUUAGUUCAAAAAAAGAAUGGAUUCUCAUAAGAUACGUUAAAAAAAUUAAUGAUGAAUAAAUUUAAUAAAAAGUGAGAAAUAAAUUCACGAUAUUUGUAUUUCAAUUUAUUGUAUCUGUAAUAUUUAAAAAAAGAAAAGAAUAAUUUUCUGUGUGUUUGAUUAUAUUUAAGAAUUGUUUUUGCAGAAAAUAAAAAAGAAUAUAAAUAAAUAUAUGAAACUACUUUAUCCAAUAAAGUUAACGACUGAUAUAAAUUUCUACAAUUCUGUAUUCCACUUUAUCGUAUCUACUAUUUCAAAGAAAAAUAAUUCUUUACGAGUUACAUUUUUAAUAUGAGUUAUAUUCGUGCAAAAAAAAAAAUAAAUAAAUCCACAUAAUCAUUGAAUAAAUUUAUGUACAAUUGCUAUGCUCCAGUUUAUGAUUUCAAGAAAAA